rnacentral:rRNA from 1 species
GUUGAUAGGCAGGGUGUGUAAGCGCUGUGAGGCGUUGAGCUAACCUGUACUAAUUGCCCGUGCGGCUUAACCAUACAACACCCAAG